AAUAUUCGACAAGGGGGGCAACCCUGAUCUAGCCAUUCCGCGUGUGUGAAGAAGGUCUUCGGAUUGUGAAGCACUUUAAUUUGGGAGGAAGGGCUUUAGGUUAAUACCCUGAAGUUUUGACGUUACCAACAGAAUAAGCACCGGCUAACUCUGUGCCAGCAGCCGCGGUAAUACAGAGGGUGCAAGCGUUAAUCGGAAUUACUGGGCGUAAAGAGCGCGUAGGUGGUUCAGUAAGAUGGGUGUGAAAUCCCCGGGCUUAACCUGGGAAGUGCUUUCAUCACUGCUGAGCUAGUGUACGGUAGAGGGUAGUGGGAUUCCCUGUGUAGCGGUGGAAUACGUAGGUAUAGGAAGGAACAACAAUGGAGAAGGCGACUACCUGGACUGAUACUGACACUGAGGUGCGAAAGCGUGGGGAGCAAAC
rnacentral:rRNA from 1 species